GUGGCUAAAAUAUGUCCACCAGGUAGCGCAGUGUCUCCGUGACUCAUAAUCAGCGUUCAGCGACGAAAUUUCCGCCAUUAUCCAUUUGUUUCCAAGUCUUACUUCUCACCAUGCCGUGUGUUUUUACAUUUUCCAGCAAGUUAAAAAGGUAUAAUCUAUCCUUUAAUUUGCACUUGGCCAAAUCAUCUGAUCGCGUGGCCUGAAACUUCUGUCAUGCUCCUGUGUAUUUUUCCGAAAUUUCGUCCAUUACUAGGGCUGUACGUCACAUCCCAUAUGGAAAAAAGUGGCAGAAAUAGAAGUGGUGAUCGACAAAGGAGCCACAACCCACAAGGCAGUGUAGGAUGACUGUGAUGGAUGAUGAAGCUGUUAACCUUUUAUUUGAUUGAAAGAGUUUGAACCUGUUCGACCGUGUGAGAUAAUUGUACCUACAUUACGACUAAUCAGACUGAAAAUGAUUGUCAUUUUCUCCAAAGUGCAGUUGCUUUCUGCAAAGGUGAAUCUUUUCUUGUAUUUUGAGAACACAGCACGUGGUCACAUUUAGCUAUUAAUCAAAGGCACUUGCUACCGGAAUUCUCCACAAACGGAUUUGUCAGCCAGGUUAAGUUGAAGCUGUUUGCUGUUGCCGUCUUAUGCUGAACAUUUUUACUUGACAUCUUGCUGCUUUCUGACUGCAUAAAUUGGAAAGCUGCCUGUUUUGCACAUUUACAACAGCUUGUUAGUUGUUUUUGCUUCAUAUUUUUUUUUGUUUCAUAGGUUUUCCACCGUGUUGAUGUUUGACGGAUGACUGAAAUUGCCUGUGGUGUUGCAGUCCAAUGGUGUGUCUGCCUGUUCCAUGGUUUAAUUAGAACAAACAAAAUCGAAUUUACGAUGUUGGUCAUUUUCCGAUUUUGUUUAGUGUACUCAUUAAGUUUGUUUUUGUCGCAUUGCAAGUAAUUUGAGCAAUGUGUUUGUUUUCGCGUCUUCGCAGCAGAAAUUAUCAUGUCUUAGGUCUACUUGGAAUGGUGAAUGAUUUGUGAGUUGUGACAUGCAGAUUUGAGACAAGUUCAUAUGAUGCAUUUAGUUGUAUGUUACUAGAAUGUGCACACAAAAUUAAUGUGAGGGAAGUAUAUUAUGAACUGUAAACGCUCUAAAACGCACGGAAGGUGGAAUUGUUGAAUAAGUUAAGCUAUCUAGGUUAAGUAAAAAUGCGCCCAUUUUAAUAUGUAUAAUAAAUGUUAAGAAAAUUUCGACGUGGAAAUAAAAAUUGUAACCAUUAAUAAUUAUAAUCCAUUAUU